UCCUUAGAAGCCCAGUGGUAGAGUGGUCGGUUGUUAACUGAUUGGUCGUAGGUUCAAAUCCUACUUGGGGAG
rfam:Nicotiana sylvestris Nsyl_contig7379, whole genome shotgun sequence.